rnacentral:rRNA from 1 species
GACAGAGGGGGCAAGCGUUGCUCGGAAUUACUGGGCGUAAAGUGUGCGCAGGCGGCCGCGCAAGUCGAGUGUGAAAUCCCCGAGCUUAACUUGGGAAUUGCGCUCGAAACUACGUGGCUGGAGUGUGGCAGAGGAAGGUGGAAUUCCACGUGUAGCGGUGAAAUGCGUAGAGAUGUGGAGGAACACCGAUGGCGAAGGCAGCCUUCUGGGCCAACACUGACGCUCAUGCACGAAAGCGUGGGGAGCAAACAGG